UACGUAGGGUGCGAGCGUUAAUCGGAAUUACUGGGCGUAAAGCGUGCGCAGGCGGUUUGGUAAGACAGAUGUGAAAUCCCCGGGCUUAACCUGGGAAUUGCAUUUGUGACUGCUCGGCUAGAGUGUGUCAGAGGGGGGUAGAAUUCCACGUGUAGCAGUGAAAUGCGUAGAGAUGUGGAGGAACACCGAUGGCGAAGGCAGCCCCCUGGGUCAAGAUUGACGCUCAUGUACGAAAGCGUGGGGAGCAAACAGG
rnacentral:rRNA from 1 species